rnacentral:rRNA from 1 species
GACGAACGCUGGCGGCGUGCUUAACACAUGCAAGUCGAACGGAAAGGCCCUGCUUUUGUGGGGUGCUCGAGUGGCGAACGGGUGAGUAACACGUGAGUAACCUGCCCUUGACUUUGGGAUAACUUCAGGAAACUGGGGCUAAUACCGGAUAGGAGCUCCUGCUGCAUGGUGGGGGUUGGAAAGUUUCGGCGGUUGGGGAUGGACUCGCGGCUUAUCAGCUUGUUGGUGGGGUAGUGGCUUACCAAGGCUUUGACGGGUAGCCGGCCUGGGAGGGUGACCGGCCAUAGGGGGACUGAGAUAGGGCCCGGCCUCAUAGGGGAGGAAACGGGGGGAAAUUUGGCAAAAGGGGCGGAAGCGUGAGGCCGCCGCCCCGCGUGGGGGAGGGCGGCUUUGGGUUUGAAACCCUCUUGCCCCGGUGAGGAAGGGGGAGUGAGGGAAAGGGGUAAAGAAGCACCGGCUAACUCCGUG